GAGACAUACUCAGAAGGAGAAGCAGGCUCCCUGCGGGGAGCCCGAUGAGAACCCAAUCCCAGGACCCGGGAUCAUGACCUGAGCCAAAGGCAAAUGCUCAACAACUGAGCCACCCAGGCUUCCCAACAGUGAUGUAUUAAUUAAUAAUGUGGAAAGAUGAGUCAAUGAAUGAGAAGAUGAUUUGGCUGAUGUCUUUGGUGAACCACAAUUAGAAGUUUCACCAUUUACUUAACAUAAAGAAUAUGGAAGAGAGAUAAAAUUUCCUUUUUUAAAAAACAAAUAUUUAUUUAUUUAUUCCAGAGAGAGAGAGAAAGUGUGCACAGGUGGAAGGGGCAGAGGGACAGAGAGAAUCUCAAGCAGACUCCUAGCUUGGCAAACAUGGGGCUUGACCUCUACGAUUCUGAGAUCAUGAUCCUAACCAAAACCAAGAAUCGGACACCUAACCCACUGUACCACUCUGGCACCUCUGGAAGAUAGAUGAAAUUUCUUGAUAAUCAGAGAGUCAUUGAAGUUUUUGAGUUCAUAGAGAUAUCAAAGAUCACCUGACUCAACCUCCACAUAUUGUCAAAGAGGAUCUUAAGGGCCAGAGGGGCUAAUUAAUCUAACCAAGGCCACAUAGCCAUUAAUGGAGCAACAGCUAGAAACUGGGCUCUGCAUGGUCCUCUUUGAACAAAACAAAAUGAAAAACUAUGUAGUAUUUGGUUUUUUAAUUUAAAAAAGAAGAGUAUGUGAGUUUAUUUUCUCAUCUCAGUUUACUGAAAUUUUAGAAUUUUAUUUACCUAUUGAUUAAUUGACUGAAAUGGCCCCAUAUUCUUAUUUAAUGACAAAAGCAGAUCUUGCUAGAACACACUAUUCAUGAAGAUUAUAAUUAUCUUGUCCAUUCUAGUCUUCCUUCUGGAAAGGCUAAUUUAGAAGCUUGUAGAUUAAGUUAUGGAGUUUGUGGUCAAGAGGUGCUGGAUUCAAAGGCAGCUUGCACAGAGGGAUUAAAUAGGCAGGUUUAGAUCUGCUUAAAGGAACAGCAAAACAGGCAACUGACCGUUUCCCUAGAAAAUACAUUGAGUGGGAUUGUAUAUAUGCAAAUUCCAAGUCAGUGGAAAAGUGAAACUAAGCCAUUCUGUUACAUUUUCUUUAAUCUGUAGAGUUUCUGUCUUUUCUGGAAAUCCAGAGGAGAUUGAAUCUUCGAACCCUGCAUUAAGUGAUUUAUAUACUUUAAAUUAUUUGUAGUGUGGUGAAAUUACCAAGUCCUGGAACUGGAAAAGUCUGCAACCUUUCCUCAUUGAUUGGUUGAUUGAUACUUUACCCAAGAAUAUUUUGAGUGUAUGUGUGCCUCUGAAUUGUGCUUGAUUAGAAUACAAAUGUGAGAACAUUGACAAGACUUACAGUUUAUUUGGCUUAGCAGCACGAAGAACUGCCAAGACGUAGCUCUUUCAUUGUUAUACUCUCUGGUGUCAUCAAAAAGCCUCUGAAAUACAACUUUUUGUUAAAACUUAAUACAGAAAUAUCAUCUAGUGACAUAUAAUUUUGGAAACAAUUUCUGUGCUUUAUUUUAUAUAUUUUUUAAAAGAUUUAUUUAUUUAUUUCAGAGAAAGAGAAUGGGGGAGGGGCAAAGGAAGAGGAAGAGAGAAUCUCCAUCAGGUGCCCGGCUGAGCGUGGACCCUGAGAUCAUGACCUGAGCUGAAACCAAGAGUUGGACUUAACUGACUGAGCCACCCAGGCCCUCUGUAUUUCAUUUUAUAUUCUUUGAGAUAAUGUUUAUAAAUCUUCCAAAAGACUA